GGUGAGAUGGCCGAGUUGGUUAUGGCGCCAGGUUAAGGUUAUCUUAACAAUAGUUUCCUGGUGGAGCAAUCCUCCUGGGUUCGAGUCCCAGUCUCAUCA